GUCUUACCAGGCAAGUUUAGA
rnacentral:miRNA from 8 species